AGAGUUUGAUCAUGGCUCAGAAUCAACGCUGGCGGCGUGCCUAACACAUGCAAGUCGAGCGAGAAAGGGAGCUUCGGCUCCUGAGUACAGCGGCGCACGGGUGAGUAACACGUGGGUAAUCUGCCCCGGAGCGGGGAAUAACACCGGGAAACCGGUGCUAAUACCGCAUACGAUCACGGAUUCUUCGGAUUCCGUGAUGAAAGGCUUCGGCCACUCCGGGAGGAGCCCGCGCCCGAUUAGCUAGUUGGUGAGGUAACGGCUCACCAAGGCUGCGAUCGGUAGCCGGUCUGAGAGGACGGUCGGCCACACUGGAACUGAGACACGGUCCAGACUCCUACGGGAGGCAGCAGUGGGGAAUUUUUGACAAUGGGGGAAACCCUGAUCAAGCAACGCCGCGUGGAUGAUGAAGUUUCUUGGAACGUAAAAUCCUUUCGACAGGGAAGAAGCCUUCGGGUUGACGGUACCUGUAGAAGAAGCCCCGGCUAACUCCGUGCCAGCAGCCGCGGUAAUACGGGGGGGGCUAGCGUUGUUCGGAUUUACUGGGCGUAAAGGGCGCGUAGGCGGUUCGUUAAGUCGGAUGUGAAAACUCUGGGCUCAACCCAGAGCCUGCAUCCGAUACUGGCGGACUAGAGUGCGAGAGGGGAAAGCGGAAUUCCUGGUGUAGCGGU
rnacentral:rRNA from 1 species